CCACACUUUGAAAACCACGCACACAGCAAGCAGAACCCCCUCUCUCUCGUGUCUUCACCGGCGACCAGAGAUCGGAGCUCCGGCGCCACGUUUUUCUCCGGCGAAUCACUCACCCAUACACCCACACCCUUUUCUCACUCUCUCACGCCGCUCCGACGACCGGUGAUCGAGGUUCCGGCCAGCUCCGCCAUCAUUUUCGACAACCGCAACCACUCUCCGACACCCUCCUUGCUUCUCUGAUGAUGACGGCUGAAGAUGAUGUUUCGUUAUGAACAUGAUCGAAGAUGAUGAUGUUGACGCUGGUUAUCGUUGACGGCGACGGUGGUGCCUCGGAACUCCGGAAGACGUGAUAUAUACGGUCGCCGAUGACUGGGUGGAGUCCGGUGACGGCGGAGAGUCGCCGUCGACAGUGGCGACAGGGCAGUGGUGGUGGCUGUGGUAACAGGCCACUCCAUCUCAGAUACGUUCGGUUCAGUCAAGUCCGGCUUAGAUAGAGGAGACAAGAUGACAGCUAAAGACUGAAGAGGUGGAUAACUCACGCUAGGUAAUAUAAAGAUCUUCUUUGCGUAACACUAAAGAACCUUGAACGGCGAUUGUGACGACGGUGGAGAAUCUGGUCUGGAUUUUGCCAGGUUCUUUCAGUAACCUUUCUAUAAAAAUUUAAUACUUUUGACUUUUCACUUUUGAUUUACCUUACUGUAAAUUGAUGCGAGUAGUUUCAUGCUUUUUAUGCUAUCUAAUCGAUUGAUUCUUGGUUGUCGUUUCUGUUCACCAACAACACGAAUCAACGCCGAUGUUUGAACGCCAAAUCGCGAAACAGGAAAGGAAACGUAGUUGUCAAAUUCAGGUCACCAUGUGAAAUAGUUGCCAGGCAGAUUAAAUUUCAAGUCCUUGCUAUCAUGUUGUGCCAUUUAGCCUUGGUUAACAAUCAGCGAUGUGGCUUAGAAUAGAAGUUAAAGAGAAUGGAUAAGUUGUAAAUGCUUACUUGAUGAGCAAGGCAUGAAUGAGUUGUGCAGGUUCGUGUGUGAACUGUGAAGACCAGAAUCAAGUCGCGUGCCUCAAAGAGGUCGCGUGAAAAAUGAUGACACAAGGAAUUGCUAUUUGGAUGGCUACAACCUAGGAACAUUAUGCAGCCGAAAGCCUGACAUAAGCCGUAACGCCUAUGCCAGAAAUCUACUAACAGCGAAAUAUCUUUUUAUGGUCGUAACUUGCAGCUGGUGUAAGUAAGAUAAGUUGCUUAUGGAUUGAUACAACGAUAUUUUGUAUACACCAGGUAGAUAGGGUAGACGAUGAGAAUGAAAUACACAAACUUAAUGUAAGAAGCAUCGGAUUUUUAUCCACUGUGAUAUAUAUAUAACCAAUCCCCCGCCGCAUCGCGGCGGGUCAUAAAUCUAGUUUAAAUAAAACAAGUGGUUGG
rnacentral:lncRNA from 1 species